UCGCUUCAGCAGCACAUAUACUAAAAUCGGAACGAUACAGAGAAGAUUAGCAUGGCCCCUGUGCAAGGAUGACAUGCAAAAAAUUAAAAAAAAAAAAAUAAAU